rnacentral:lncRNA from 1 species
CAACCAUAUUACGCUUGCAUUCGUCAUUUUCCUAUCUUCAGUGCGCGUUCAAAACAGUAAUUAGCAUCUAUUAUUUGCGCUUUUUGUAAUAACCACAGGACAUUUAUUACUAAGUCGUUGCAGUUUCCCAACAAUUACCUCGGAAUGUAGAUAAGGCCUUAUCUUGGAUGGGGUAAACAGAGAGGCUUGGAAUUCAUAUAAAUCGGAGUAAGGACAAACCAAUAAGGUUAAUGUAUCCUCGCGAGGUUAUGACGUAUAUUGCCGGGUUGGACUGGUUAAGUAAGUAGUAAUAUGACUGUGUAAACGCAAGGAGAAAAGCUGCGUCACUCUUGUAUGAUAUUAUAAUGCGGGUUUGUCCUGUACUCUACGCGAUGUGAGUCAGACUUCCGAAUACUAAUUUUUAGCUUGAUGUUUGUAAUAAAAGCAAGUCGCCGGUCCAUUUUCCUUCGCCGAAUUCGUGACGAACGCAACGACGCAGGUUUUCAAAUGCGCAGUUCUCUUAAAUUCUUUGGAAGAACACCGUGUAAAUAAAACAAGUUAUGAAUUCAAAUAAACUUUAAUAAUCUCUUUUCAACGUCUACAGUUCGAAAAUUUUGAUCAACACUAAAAGUCCAAGAUACGUGCAAUAACAGAGUGGAGUUCUCAAAGAAAUCCUAAAUAACUUCAAAUACUGCCAUAUUGCUCUUUUUUAUCACUAUUAUCAAUAAAAUAAUCGAUUUGGUUGGUACUAAUACCUAACUACCUAAAUAAUUUGACAGAAUUCUUCAAAUGUAAACGACUCUAUCGCUCGAUAAAGUUAUACGAGAUUGAAGAAUUUACUUUAAAGUUUUUAGUAUAUAGGUGUAGACACUAGACAGGAUGAUUAUGUUAGACGUUAUUUUUUUUAUUGAAUGUGAGGAUUAUAAAAUUGUGUAAAUUAUUAUCAGUGGACACGGUCGGAGUGAUGUACCUAGUCCAAUGUGAGGUCGGGUGCUAUCGUAAGUUCAAUGUCUCAAAUUAGUUUAUGGGAUACAGAGGCCUACCAGCAGACAGCCUUGACUCCUGGACCUACACAAUACACUAUUUACUUAUAAAAUUAAAUUCAGUAGAUAACAAUACAAU